CAGAAUUAUAUGUAUGAUAAGAGUAGAAAAGAUAUUUAUAUACGAAAAAGUUUAAAAAAUAUUAUAAACAAUUGAUAAUUGAUAAAAUGUCCAGGUGUUUCAUUUCCUGUAAAACGUGUAUUGUGCAUGCGCAUUGAACACUUCCUGUGACAGGUAUAUUUUUUGUAACAGGUACUUGCUGACAUCGGUAUGGCUUGGUGGUCGUGACGUGUCGGGAAUUUCAAAUCGUUGAUAUAUGAACAACAAGACAACUGUCAUAAAAUGCAUAGGAUAAGAAUUCCAAUGAAAGAUGUUCUCUAGUGUACUUCGUUGUGUCCCGCUGUGCAAAAUCGUCGCUUCGACAUCGCUGGUCUUAGGCGCCAAAUCAACCGUUGUCGUAUAACGUAGGAAGAACUCACGGAUGUUACAUACUUUUAAUAUACAAAUACAAACACACAAGUGAACGAGUGGAAUACCAAAACUGAACUCCCACUCUGACAUUUGAGAAUAGUAUAUAUAAUAUCAACCUGUCCUAAGGACAUUUUAUAAUGUAUAUAAAUACACACGUUUUAGAGUUACGUAUAUUUAUCAUCCUGACAUAAGGUCAGUCCGUAUGCAUCUUGCACUAUAAUACUCAUAAAUCAUGUCAUGUUCCAUAGUGCACAUUAUGAAAUAAAAACCUUAUUAUAUGUAUAUACAUGUUGACUUGUCAUUCUUUUUGAAUAUAGCGUGUAUGACUCAUUAGCCUGUGCAACCAGCUAUACGACAAUUCCUCCAUUACUUAUAAAAAAAAAUAUUUAAAAAAAAAGUAUUGAACAAGUUAUUAUUUAAUAUCAAACAUUUCAAACUCGUUCUAACAAAUUAUAAAAAUCUAAAAUCUAAAAUCAACUUGACAUCUGUUUUACCCUUAAGGUAAUAUCCGGUCAGAGAUGUCCGGUCAGAGAUGUUAUCUAAUGACUUUUUAUUAGUUUAUUUUUAAAAGAAAAAAUCACCUUAAGUCAUAUAAUCUCUGAUUGGUCAAUUGUAUAUCGUGCGUAACCUUUUUGUUUGAAUUCAUUUUAAUAGAAAAAUUUGGAUAGAUACAAU